rnacentral:lncRNA from 1 species
GUCCGGGAGAUCAUGGAUCGAGGUGACGUCGACCUUUAGAAGAUUGACGGAAAGGAGAACCUGAUCGACCCCUUCACUAAAGCCCUAGCAAUAAAGGAGUUCAACAACUACAAGUCGAAGAUGGGUAUUAGAUACUGUGCUGAGUGGCUUUAGGACAAGUGGGAGUUGUUGAAAAAUAUAUCUCAAAAGUCAAUCGUCAACCUGUUGACGGUUGAGUAACCAAGUAUUGUA